AUUGUGGGUGUGAUGAAUGGGGGAAUAGAAUAAUAAUUGGUAGAGUUGUAAUACCUAUAAUUGUGGGUGUGAUGAAUGGGGCAAAUAAAUUUUCGUUCAUUUGUUU